AUCCAAGGUGAUUCCCUCUCCCAGGGGCCAGCUAGUGCCCCUUUCAGGAAAAUAGCAACUUGGAAGAAAGUCGGGCAUCCCUGGAGUCACUUGGGACAGGAGAUUCUUAUUUGUUUUACCUUCCUUUGGCUGCCGACAGGC
rnacentral:snoRNA from 1 species